rnacentral:rRNA from 1 species
AGAGUUUGAUCCUGGCUCAGAGUGAACGCUGGCGGCGUAGAUUAGGCAUGCAAGUCGAGCGAUCCGCCAUGUUUUGUGGCGGAUAGCGGCAGACUGGUGCGUAACGCGUGAGUAAUUUACCUCCAAGUCGGGGAUAGCCUUACGAAAGUAAGGGUAAUACCCGAUGUGUUCCCCGCUACAAAAGUAGCGGGGAGUAAAGGUGGCUCGCAAGAGCUACUGCUUAGAGAUGAGCUCGCGUCCUAUCAGCUAGUUGGUUGAGGUAAUGGCUCACCAAGGCUGUUGACGGGUAGCUGGCCUGAGAGGGUGGUCAGCCACACGGGGACUGAGACACUGCCCCGACUCCUACGGGAGGCUGCAGUCGAGAAUAUUUAGCAAUGGGCGAAAGCCUGACUAUGUGACGCCGCGUGAGGGAUGAAGGUUUUCGGAUCGUAAACCUCUUUCGAUGGGGAAGAAAUCCUGCUAUGAAAGUAGUAGGUUGACGGUACCCAGAGAAGAAGCCACGGCUAACUCCGUGCCAGCAGCCGCGGUAAUACGGAGGUGGCGAGCGUUACUCGGAUUCAUUGGGUGUAAAGGGCAGGUAGGCGGCUAUGUAAGUUGGAGGUGAAAUCCUUUGGCUCAACCAAAGAACUGCCUUCAAAACUACAUAGCUUGAGGCUAGAAGAGGAGAGCGGAAUUCCCGGUGUAAGGGUGAAAUCUGUAGAUAUCGGGAGGAACACCAGUAGCGAAAGCGACUCUCUAGUCUGGUCCUGACGCUGAGCUGCGAAAGCUAGGGGAGCAAACAGGAUUAGAUACCCUGGUAGUCC